rnacentral:lncRNA from 1 species
AGGGCACGAGAUGAUCCCGAUGGCAUCCAGUUGCUAACUAUAAAUAGGGUGCUGUGCUGGGUAUUCUAAUCCAUCGAAAAAUAAUUUCAUCUCUUCUUUCUCACAAGUCUCCUAGGUUGUUUGAAUGGCUCUCUUCUUUUUCUUGUUAGGAUAAGUCCUAAAAUAGUAAGGACAAGUUCGAUUUUAGGACAAGAGUGUAGAAAGAGAAUUAGAAAGGCAAGAAGAAAGAAAGGUAGAGAUAGGAAGGUUAGAGAGAGAGGAAGAAAGUCCUGAGGUUCUGCUGCCCAG